rnacentral:rRNA from 1 species
UACAGAGGUCCCAAGCGUUGUUCGGAUUCACUGGGCGUAAAGGGCGCGUAGGCGGCCUGCUAAGUCACACGUGAAAUCCCUCGGCUCAACCGGGGAACUGCGUGUGAUACUGGCGGGCUUGAAUUCGGGAGAGGGAUGUGGAAUUCCAGGUGUAGCGGUGAAAUGCGUAGAUAUCUGGAGGAACACCGGUGGCGAAGGCGGCAUCCUGGACCGAGAUUGACGCUGAGGCGCGAAAGCUAGGGGAGCAAACGGG